rnacentral:rRNA from 1 species
GAUGAACGCUAGCUACAGGCUUAACACAUGCAAGUCGAGGGGUAACGAGAGGAAAGCUUGCUUUCCUUGUCGACGACCGGCGCACGGGUGAGUAACGCGUAUCCAACCUGCCCCCAACUAGGGAAUAACCUUGCGAAAGUAAGACUAAUACCCUAUAAUUUCCUCAGAUGUCAUCUGACGAGGAAUAAAGAUUUAUCGGUUGUGGAUGGGGGUGCGGCUGAUUAGCUUGUUGGCGGGGUAACGGCCCACCAAGGCAACGAUCAGUAGGGGUUCUGAGAGGAAGGGACCCACCAUUGGAACUGAGACAAGGUCCAAACUCCUACGGGAGGCAGCAGUGAGGAAUAUUGGUAAAUGGGCGGAAGCCUGAACCAGCCAAUGAGCGUGCAGGAUGACGGCCCUAUGGGUUGUAAACUGCUUUUAUACAGGAAUAAAGUUAGCCACGUGUGGUUAUUUGUAGGUACUGUAUGAAUAAGGACCGGCUAAUUCCGUGCCAGCCGCCGCGGUAA